AUCGUCUGUGUGUGCACACGGCAGAAGUGUGUCAUUGGGUCUGAGAGGAGGGGCUGGCUGUUCUCCCUGCAGUGCUGGGAAGGCGGCCCCGGACUCCCUCGCCUGUGUGCAGAGCCGGGGCUCUGCUGCUGGGCCCACCAGGACGUUCCUGAGGGUCCUCGCCAGGAUGACCAGAGGGGAAACAGGUGGCAUCUCUUCCCAACGCUGCCAGGUGGGUGACUGAGCGCCUGGACUGAGCUGCUCCCUGUGGUCCAGGAGGAGGCGGCAG
rnacentral:lncRNA from 1 species